rnacentral:rRNA from 1 species
UAAGGAAUAUUGGUCAAUGGACGCAAGUCUGAACCAGCCAUGCCGCGUGCGGGAAGAAGGCCUUCGGGUUGUAAACCGCUUUUGUCAGGGAAGAAAUCCUUUGAGCUAAUACCUCGGGGGGAUGACGGUACCUGAAGAAUAAGCACCGGCUAACUACGUGCCAGCAGCCGCGGUAAUACGUAGGGUGCGAGCGUUAAUCGGAAUUACUGGGCGUAAAGCGUGCGCAGGCGGUUAUGUAAGACAGAUGUGAAAUCCCCGGGCUCAACCUGGGAACUGCAUUUGUGACUGCAUAGCUAGAGUACGGCAGAGGGGGAUGGAAUUCCGCGUGUAGCAGUGAAAUGCGUAGAUAUGCGGAGGAACACCGAUGGCGAAGGCAAUCCCCUGGGCCUGUGCUGACGCUCAUGCACGAAAGCGUGGGGAGCAAACA